rnacentral:rRNA from 1 species
UACGUAGGGGGCGAGCGUUGUCCGAAUUUACUGGGCGUAAAGCGCGCGUAGGCGGGCACUUAAGUUGGGGGUGAAAUCCCGAGGCUCAACCUCGGAACUGCCUUCAAAACUGUGUGCCUUGAGGUUUGGAGAGGGAAGUGGAAUUCCUGGUGUAGCGGUGAAAUGCGUAGAUAUCAGGAGGAACACCCGUGGCGAAGGCGGCUUCCUGGCCAUAUCCUGACGCUGAGGUGCGAAAGCUAGGGGAGCGAACGGG